rnacentral:rRNA from 1 species
GACGAACGCUGGCGGCGUGCUUAACACAUGCAAGUCGAGCGGAAAGGCCUCCUUCGGGGGGUACUCGAGCGGCGAACGGGUGAGUAACACGUGAGUAAUCUGCCCUCCACUUCGGGAUAACUGCCUGAAAGGGUGGCUAAUACCGGAUGCGACCGUCCCCUGCAUGGGGUGGUGGUGGAAAGGGUUUCUGGUGGGGGAUGUGCUCGCGGCCUAUCAGCUUGUUGGUGGGGUAAUGGCCUACCAAGGCUUUGACGGGUAGCCGGCCUGAGAGGGUGACCGGCCACACUGGGACUGAGACACGGCCCAGACUCCUACGGGAGGCAGCAGUGGGGAAUAUUGGACAAUGGGCGGAAGCCUGAUCCAGCAACGCCGCGUGAGGGAUGACGGCCUUCGGGUUGUAAACCUCUUUCAGCACAGACGAAGCGCCCGUUGUGGGUGGUGACGGUAUGUGCAGAAGAAGCACCGGCCAACUACGUGCCAGCCGCCGC